rnacentral:rRNA from 1 species
CCUACGGGCGGCAGCAGUGGGGGAUAUUGCACAAUGGGGGGAACCCUGAUGCAGCGACGCCGCGUGGGUGAAGGAGCGUUUCGGCGCGUAAAGCCCUAUUGGCAGGGAAGAAGAUGACGGUACCUGACCAAGAAGCCCCGGCUAACUACGUGCCAGCAGCCGCGGUAAUACGGAGGGGGCAAGCGUUAUCCGGAUUUACUGGGUGUAAAGGGGGCGCAGACGGCAAUGCAAGUCAGGAGUGAAAGCCCGGGGCCCAACCCCGGGACUGCUCUUGAAACUGCGAGGCUGGAGUACAGGAGGGGCAGGUGGAAUUCCUAGUGUAGCGGUGAAAUGCGUAGAGAUGAGGAGGAACACCGGUGGCGAAGGCGACCUGCUGGACUGUAACUGACGUUGAGGCGCGAAGGCGUGGGGAGCAAACAGGAUUAGAUACCCGGGUAGUC